GACUGGGGCGGUCGCCUCCUAAAAGGUAACGGAGGCGCGCAAAGGUUCCCUCAGGCUGGUUGGAAAUCAGCCGACGAGUGUAAAGGCAGAAGGGAGCUUGACUGUGAGACCUACAAGUCGAACAGGGACGAAAGUCGGCCUUAGUGAUCCGACGGUUCUGUGUGGAAGGGCCGUCGCUCAACGGAUAAAAGUUACUCU
rnacentral:rRNA from 1 species